CCUACGGGGGGCAGCAGUGGGGAAUAUUGGACAAUGGGGGGAACCCUGAUCCAGCGACGCCGCGUGAGUGAAGAAGUAUUUCGGUAUGUAAAGCUCUAUCAGCAGGGAAGAAAGAAAUGACGGUACCUGACUAAGAAGCCCCGGCUAACUACGUGCCAGCAGCCGCGGUAAUACGUAGGGGGCAAGCGUUAUCCGGAUUUACUGGGUGUAAAGGGAGCGUAGACGGCAGUGCAAGUCUGGAGUGAAAGGCGGGGGCUCAACCCCCGGACUGCUCUGGAAACUGUACGGCUGGAGUGCAGGAGAGGUAAGUGGAAUUCCUAGUGUAGCGGUGAAAUGCGUAGAUAUUAGGAGGAACACCAGUGGCGAAGGCGGCUUACUGGACUGUAACUGACGUUGAGGCUCGAAAGCGUGGGGAGCAAACAGGAUUAGAUACCCUAGUAGUC
rnacentral:rRNA from 1 species